rnacentral:tRNA from 1 species
AAUAAGAUGCCUGAAUAAAGGAUUAUUUUGAUAGAAUAAAUUAUGUAACAAAUUACUCUUAUUG